rnacentral:rRNA from 1 species
UACGAAGGGGGCUAGCGUUGUUCGGAUUUACUGGGCGUAAAGCGCACGUAGGCGGAUCGUUAAGUCGGGGGUGAAAUCCUGGAGCUCAACUCCAGAACUGCCUUCGAUACUGGCGAUCUUGAGUCCGGAAGAGGUGAGUGGAACUCCUAGUGUAGAGGUGGAAUUCGUAGAUAUUAGGAAGAACACCAGUGGCGAAGGCGGCUCACUGGUCCGGUA